rnacentral:lncRNA from 10 species
AAAACAUUCCGCAGCGCAUUUUUAUUCAAAACAACAGCAAGUUGCAAAGCAGUAUGUCAGGUAGAAUUGCGUUUUAUUAAUAAACUUUUAAUUUUAGAACAGUUUUAGAUAUACAGAAAAAUUGCAAGGAGUGUACAGAGAGUUGCCACAUACCCCAAACCCAGUUUCUUCUAAUAACAUCUUAACAUUACUAAGAUGGGAUAACUUUUCUAUGAGAACAAAGAGGAUGACAUAGCAGUCAAGGAAAAUAUUAGAAGAUAUUUCUUGCCUGUCUGUUCACCAACACACUUCUGCAAGGCCCAGGCACUGUCUGUGUGUUUAUUGAGGAUAGAGGACCAAAAGAAAAUGGUCUUUUCUUUACCCCAAAGGAAAUUGUAUUCCCCUUCACCUCACCUCUACUCCAAGGAAAAGAACUGUUUUCUAACCAACUGAGGGCUACUUUGUAUUUUAACUUUAUUAGGCCUUUGUGAAAUAAAAUGUUCAGUUUUUGGCAAUGUUUUAUAUCAUCAUGUGGUGUGAGUCCUAAAUUCAAGGCCCCUUAAUAUGUGCUAUCUUGAUAUGUGCUGAAAUUGGGAGGGUCUCCAACGGCCUAAACACAAGUUCUCCUCCUGACUCUGCUCCCAAGAAUGAGGUCCCCUAACUACCCUCCUUAUCAAAGGCACCAGGGCAGUUCCUGCUUUAUUCCAGAGUAGCAGAUUUCAGUUCUCUGCCAGCCCAUGGAAUUAUUUAAACAAGCCAAUUACAUCCUCCUGGGAAACCAGGGAUCACCCCACUCUUUGAAUACCUCAAAGUCUGCUUCCCAGAGCCCUUCGUUGUGCUGUCUGUACCCAAAUGUAACCCCAAUGUGGCCUGUAUAGCUUGCCAUGUCCUCCUCCCCAGGCUGUGAACAUCUGUAACUAAUAAACUGCUGUUGGCCUCAUCUGACCGGUGUUGGAUGUCAUGUGUUGGAUAAUCCCCAGAACCCUAUGGCAGGAAUCCUUACUUCAACAGUGGCGUAAAUAAGAGGCAAUUGAAACAUCAUAUGCUGAACGACUCUCUAAUGAUUCCACAUUACUUAGGAAGGUAGUAAAGUCAGGGAAUCCUAUAACUAAUCCUAUAACUUCAUCAUUUGCAGGGCUCUUAUGAGCAGUGAUGUACAGGUAGCUGCUACUUCUUAAUCUUUCCUACCCUACUUACCCACCCCUGUACUGUACUCUUUAACAAUAUAUAAAUUGUCCACCUUUUCCUCCUGGUGUGAACUCUUUAUGUUUAGAGCAUAUGACAUUUGACCUUCAAACAGGCCAAAUAUACUUAACUCCUUUUAAGUCUAAUGGUCUCUAUUUUCUAUCCCUUUACUUUUUUCGAUUGUUCUACACUAACAAUUUCUAAUUAUUUCCCAUAUUUAUUAUAGUAUCAUGACUCAAAAGAGUAACAGUAUUAUGUUGACAGAAUGACUCUUGUAGAGAAAAAUUUGAAAUUAACAUCUGAGUCAUGUUUGUAAAAU